rnacentral:lncRNA from 1 species
UGAUGGUCGUAGUGUGAACGUAGUAAGGUCGUGAGAAGAGCGUGAUGAGGACGGCAAGGGCGUGCUAGAAUCGUACUAUGGUCGUGAACAGCGUGGUAAAGUCGUAAUGGAAGCGUAGUUGGGUCGCGGUGAGAACGUGAUGGUCGUAGUAAGGUCGUGAUAACGUCGCUGUGAGAUCGUAGCGCAAUCUCUCCGAAUAGAAUCACGCUUUCGCUACGAUUGUACAGCGACCUUUGCGAUCUUACUACGAUCUUAGUGCGCUCUCACUACGCUUCUACUACGACCUAAUUUCGCCACGACCGCACCACGAUUGUUUUGAACAUGUUCAAAGUUGGCCACGCUCUUCACGAUCUUGAAGACCUCACCACGACCGUGGUACGACCUUACUGCGACCUACACG